rnacentral:ribozyme from 12 species
AACAGAAAAGAAAAACAAGGCAACAAAAACAAGACACCAACAAAAGCAGUACUACCGAAACAACAUGUGCAUGCCUUUUUUUUUUCUUUUUUUUUUUUUU